AACGCACCUUGCGCUCCUUGGUAUUCCGAGGAGCAUGCCUGUUUGAGUGUCAUUAAAUUCUCAAUCUCUACAACUUUUGUUGUUAGCAGGUUGGAUGUGGGGGUUUAUUGUGGGCGUUACAACCUACUCCCCUGAAAUGAAUUAGCUGGAAUGCCUCGGCAAAUCCAACUAUCAGUGUGAUAAAUAUCUUACUGUAGUUGUUGCUUUUGAGGGUAUCCGCUUCUCAACUGUCUGCAAAGACAACUUGAAUCAUUUUGACCUCAAAUCAGGUAGGACUACCCGCUGAACUUAA
rnacentral:misc_RNA from 1 species